UACGGAGGGUGCGAGCGUUGUCCGGAAUCACUGGGCGUAAAGGGCGCGUAGGCGGCUUGGGAAGUCCGUGGUGAAAGCCCGAGGCUCAACUUCGGGUCGGCCAUGGAUACUCCUAAGCUCGAGUCGACUAGAGGCUAAUGGAAUUCCGGGUGUAGCGGUGGAAUGCGUAGAGAUCCGGGAGAACACCGGUGGCGAAGGCGGUUAGCUGGGGUCGGACUGACGCUGAGGCGCGACAGCGUGGGGAGCAAACAGG
rnacentral:rRNA from 1 species